rnacentral:piRNA from 1 species
UGCACAGGUCAGGUGGAGUGGAUGGCCUA